rnacentral:rRNA from 1 species
AUGCAGCCGACCAUCCUCGUCGCCGGUUGCAGCCUCAAAAUGCACAGCCGUGUCACUUACAACCAAAAUACCAGUACCGAUAACAGCAAAACAAACACACCAUGGAAACAAAAAAAUGAAAAUGGGGCAUCGGUUCCAGCAAAAAACUCGCACAGGGGUGGAACCAAAAACAUGAAACACCGGUUUCAGCAAAAACAUGAUAUGGUGGAAGUAAAAAUAGACACCGGUUGUAGCAAAAUCAAGACGCCGAUAGCAAAAAAAAAGGGUUGUGUCCAGCAAAAUCCGAAGACUGUAGUAGCAAAUAAUGGGGAUGGCUGUAGCAAAAACAAACUGGUUGCAGCACCACCAUCAGGCCGUGGUCACCAUCGUCGGGCCAUGGUCACCACCGCCGUGAGAUGGCCCCCCACUGGUUGCAGCAAAUCUGGUCAUGGGUGGUAG